CUACGGGAGGCAGCAGUCGAGAAUCAUUCACAAUGGGGGAAACCCUGAUGGUGCGACGCCGCGUGGGGGAAUGAAGGUCUUCGGAUUGUAAACCCCUGUCAUGUGGGAGCAAAUUAAAAAGAUAGUACCACAAGAGGAAGAGACGGCUAACUCUGUGCCAGCAGCCGCGGUAAUACAGAGGUCUCAAGCGUUGUUCGGAAUCACUGGGCGUAAAGCGUGCGUAGGCUGUUUCGUAAGUUGUGUGUGAAAGGCGCGGGCUCAACCCGCGGACGGCACAUGAUACUGCGAGACUAGCGUAAUGGAGG
rnacentral:rRNA from 1 species